CCUACGGGUGGCUGCAGUCGAGGAUUUUUGGCAAUGGGCGCAAGCCUGACCAAGCGACGCCGAGUGCGGGAUGAAGGUUUUCGGAUUGUAAACCGCUUUUGACGGGGAUGAAGUGCCUGGGGGUUCUCCCCUGGGUUUGACAUAACUGUAGAAUAAGCACAGGCUAAGCUCGUGCCAGCAGCCGCGGUAAUACGAGCUGUGCAAACGUUACUCGGAAUCAUUGGGCUUAAAGGGUGCGUAGGCGGCCUCGCAAGUCGGGUGUGAAAUGUCCUGGC
rnacentral:rRNA from 1 species